CUUUUUGACCGCCAUGCUGUGAGAACGGGUUUAUGUUUGUUUUGAUGUUUACUUUUAAUUUUGGGAAAGGACAGUAAAUGGAUUUGAAUAUCCAACUUUAUUUACAAAGAAAGCAGAAUGAAGAAGGAGAGCUGAAGACCUCCAACUACAAGCUGAUAUGAGGAGCAGCUGAAUCUAAAUGAGCUUCAACAGACUGAAGACUUCAGCAACUCAUUCA
rnacentral:lncRNA from 1 species